rnacentral:rRNA from 1 species
GAUGAACGCUGGCGGCGUGCUUAACACAUGCAAGUCGAACGGAAAGGCUCCUGCUUGCAGGGGUACUCGAGUGGCGAACGGGUGAGUAGCACGUGGGUGAUCUGCCCUGCACUUCGGGAUAAGCCUGGGAAACUGGGUCUAAUACCGGAUAGGACGAUGGUUUGGAUGCCAUUGUGGAAAGUUUUUCGGUGUGGGAUGAGCUCGCGGCCUAUCAGCUUGUUGGUGGGGUAAUGGCCUACCAAGGCGUCGACGGGUAGCCGGCCUGAGAGGGUGUACGGCCACAUUGGGACUGAGAUACGGCCCAGACUCCUACGGGAGGCAGCAGUGGGGAAUAUUGCACAAUGGGCGCAAGCCUGAUGCAGCGACGCCGCGUGGGGGAUGACGGCCUUCGGGUUGUAAACUCCUUUCGCUAGGGACGAAGCGCAAGUGACGGUACCUGGAGAAGAAGCACCGGCUAACUACGUG